rnacentral:SRP_RNA from 1 species
GCCAGGUGCGGUGGCGCGUGCCUAUAGUCCCCAGCAACUCGAGAGGCUGAGGUGGGAGGAUCGCUUGAGCCCAGGGGUUCUGGGCUGCGCUACGCCGCUCUGGUGUCCGCACCAAGUUCGGCAUUAAUAUGGUGACCUCCCGGGAGCAGGGGACCACCAGGUUGCCUAAGCAGGGGCGAACCGGCCCAGGUCGGAAACAGAGCCAGGUCAAAACUCCGUGCUGAUCAGUAGUGGGGUCGCGCCUGUGAACAGCCACUGCACUCCAGCCUGGGCAACAUAGCGAGACCCUGUCUCUU